rnacentral:lncRNA from 1 species
CGGGGUGUGCCAGUGUGGGUACUUUCAUAUGACUGGUGUGUCCAGUUGUCCACUUUCAUAUGACUGGUGGUGUCCAUUUGUCCACUUUCAUAUGACGUGGUGGUUGUGGGUACUUCAUAUGACGUGUCCGGCCCACUUUCAUAUGAUGUGGUGUGUCCAGUGUGGGUACUUUCAUACGUGGGUGCCAGUGUGGGUACUUUCAUAUGAUGUUGCGCCCAUGUGGGUACUUUCAUAUGACGGGGUGUGUCCAGUGUGGGUACUUUCAGAGACGUGGUGGUCCAGGUGGGUACUUUCAUAGGACUGGUGUGUCCAGUGUGGGUACUUCAAGGACGGUGGUGGCCAGUGUGGCCACUUCAAGGAUGGUGUUGUGCCAGUGUGGGUACUUUCAUAUGACGUGGUGUGCCCAGUGUGGGUACUUUCAUAUGACGUGGUGUGUCCAGUGUGGGUACUUUCAUAUGACGUGGUGUGCCCAGUGUGGGUACUUUCAUAUGACGUGGUGUGUCCAGUGGUACUUUCAUAUGACGGGGUGUGCCCAGUGUGGGGACUUUUCUAUGACGUGGUGUGUCCAGUUGUCCACUUUCAUAUGACGUGGUGGUGUGUCCAGUUGUCCACUUUCAUAUGACGUGGUGGUUUGUCCAGUUGUCCACUUUCAUAUGACGUGGUGGUGUGUCCAGUUGUCACUUUCAUAUGACGUGGUGGUGUGUCCAGUUGUCACUUUCAUAUGACGUGGUGGUGGUGUGUCCAGUUGUCCACUUCAUAUGACGUGGUGGUGGUGUGUCCAGUUGUCCACUUUCAUAUGACGUGGUGGUGGUGUGUCCAGUUGUCCACUUCAUAUGACGUGGUGGUGUGUGCCAGUUGUCCACUUUCAUAUGACGUGGUGGUGGUGUUCCAGUUGUCCACUUUCAUAUGACGUGGUGGUGGUGUCCAGUUGUCCACUUCAUAGACGUGGUGUGGUGGUCCAGUUGUCCACUUUCAUAUGAGUGGUGGUGUGUCCAGUGUGGGUACUUUCAAUGAGGGUGUGUCAGUUGCCACUUUCAUAUGAUGUGGUGUGUCCAGUGUGGGUACUUUCAUCACCAUGUUUUUGAAUGAACAAAGUGCCUUGGCCUGAACCUGCCCAUGGUUACUCUGUCUGUGUGUGUGUUUGGUCUUUCUUU